CGAAAACGAGAUGAUUGUUAAUAUGCAGCCAAACUUGAGUCCAACACCAGAGCUUUGGAUAUGAUGAGAACACAAAAUAUGUUUGGCUGAUGCAGUCUGGGAUCCCCACUGCACCCCAGUGUGCAACAUAGUAUUGAAAAACAAAACAAAACAGGGGACCAAGCCUCAACAGUUCUACUGGAAACAAAUGAAGAAUGGAAUGACUCUGAAAUCCUGGGCGCCGUUCCUCUCAAGUAUUGGCUUCUGGAAGACACAGCAACAGAAUAUCCCCAACCCGUAUCUGCAUGGCUUGAGCAAAAUGACAAUCUCCCUAAAAAGGCCCACAGUGAGGGACUCAGUCAUUACAACCACUGGAAGGGAGACUAUUUCUCUGUCUUCAGAAGCUUCCCCAGUCCUCCCAAUUCCCAACUCUGUGUGGGUAAUUCUCUGUGAGCUAAACUGGCAAGGCUGCACUGGGAUGUCGACCAGCUGCGGAUGCAAAAAACGCCUGUUCCUUCUUUGAUUUGUGGCUCCUGGUCCUGGACACCUCAUUGCUCCCCCUGUUCUCAUGAGGAGUCAGUGCCCUGGAACAAGGCCCCAGGAGUUUCUACCAUAAGGGACUCAACUUUACAGCUAGGAGACACCACAAAACUAGUUUCUAGGAAUACUUUCCAUUUCAAGAGGACAACUUUAAUAAGGUCACCGAGGGCUGCUUCCUAUCUAUCGUCUGGGUGUUUCUCCAGCCUGGCAGCUGCUUCAGCAACAGAACUCAAGUCAGGUAGCCCCUAACGCUGAACGUAGGGCCCAGAACAAUCUACUAAACGAAAGAUAGAGACUUGAUGUCAAUCCCACUAUAAGAGAUUUUCUUACCUUAUUUUUUGUUUUUU